ensembl:lncRNA
CACAGAAAGGUGACACCCAGACUGUGAGGUCACCUGAAUGAUAUAAUACACAGAGGAAACGGUGGAGGUCAUUCAGCUGGACAUCAACAUCUAGAAGAACCAAUCCUCAGCACCGACCUGUUCAUCAUGAUGAUCAGAAUCCUCUGCCUGAGCGUCCUCGUGAUGCUUUUCUGCACAGACAUUGAAGCAAAGAAAGGAAAAGAAAAAAGGUUAAAGUGUUACACUUGUAAAGAGAAAAACUGCACAAAAUCCGACUAUUGUCAUCAUGGGCAGAUCUGCAUGAGCGCCUCCAUUGUUGAAAUCAUACAUGGAGAGAAGGAGAUUUCCUACUACAGGUCUUGUGCUUCACCUUCAUACUGCGAGAGAUUUGGAGGAAACGCGACCUUGGCCAUCAACGAGGACUCUCAGGUGUUUGUGGUGACCGUUCAGUGCUGCAGGUCCCAUCUCUGCAACAAAACACCUCCUCCCCACCCUGCAAUAACAAUCUGGAAAUGGCCUGAAAUGCCACAAACAACCACUCCUGAACCAACCCUUCCACCCUGUAGCAGAAAGACAUAAACAUUCCCACCACAUUAAACCAGUCCCUUGGUCUUGGUGACAAACCUUUAAAACGUUGAUUAAAGUCUGGGUGAAUCUUUAGUGGAUCUUACAUCAAACAUGCAGAUCUUAACAAACUUAUCAGACCACCACCCGCUGUGAGGUUAAAUCACAGCAUUGGUAAAUAUCUUUGUUUCUGUCAUUUGGCUAAUCUCCUAAACAAAACAAAAAGAUGGUUGGUGGUCGAAUACAUUCGUUAACCAACAUAUUUGAUGUUUUGCUUUUUAGCGAUGGAAUUAGAUGAUGAAUUAAUGAAGAUCAAACCUUCCUUCAAAGGAGCGUUGGUUACUUCUAACUUCUACAUUUGACUCUUUUAGUAACGGUAGCAGGGCUGAGUUUCUAAUGCUUUCUUAAAAUGCUUUCUUCAUGGGAACAAUCAUUAAGGGUUGAAAUAAAACUAUCAGCAU